rnacentral:rRNA from 1 species
CAGUCGCCGCGGUAAUGCGUAGGGUGCGAGCGUUAAUCGGAAUUACUGGGCGUAAAGCGUGCGCAGGCGGUUGUGUAAGACAGGUGUGAAAUCCCCGGACUUAACCUGGGAACUGCGCUUGUGACUGCACAGCUAGAGUAUGGCAGAGGGGGGUGGAAUUCCACGUGUAGCAGUGAAAUGCGUAGAGAUGUGGAGGAACACCGAUGGCGAAGGCAGCCCCCUGGGCCAAUACUGACGCUCAUGCACGAAAGCGUGGGGAGCAAACAGGAUUAGAUACCCCCGUAGUCCCUGUCUCUUAUAC